GGGCCGGGGGCGCAGUCCCGGGACGCGGGAUGCUCGGUACGCUGCCUCAUCGCGGCCCAGGCCACUCGCCUACCUCGCCACCUCGCCCGCCGGUCCCAGAGCCCCCAGGGACACGCGUUAAAAAGUGUCGUCUCCGCAUCUCUGAGUCCCGACUUCAACCUGAACUCGGCGCUCUCCUGGCGCAGGUGUGGCCGAGUGUCUGAGGCUGACCGUAGAUUGAUGGGUGUUGAGUCCGAAUAGUUGGAACCCUUGAAGAACAGCUUCUGGGAGACUCUGCGUUUCAGAACAGUUCUAAUUGCAGGUGUUUUUGAAGAAAAAUUCACCAUUUGGAUGUGAGGAAGGACAUGAGGAGACCAAAGACCUGGGAUUUUGCUGAUCAGAAUGAAACAAAUGUUGAAAGACUUUUCAAAUCUAUUGUUGGUGGUGCUCUGUGACUACGUUCUUGGAGAAGCUGAAUAUCUCCUUCUGGGGGAACCGGGCCAUGUAGCACUAAGCAACAGGACAGUGUCUGUGGAUUUCCAGUAUUUGGAUGGCGCCAAUGGGACGCUGAGGAAUGUCUCUGUCCUGCUGUUGGAGGCCAACACCAAUCAGACUGUUACCACCAAAUACCUCCUGACCAACCAGUCCCAGGGGACCCUCGAGUUUGAGUGCUUCUACUUCAAGGAGGCCGGCGACUACCGGUUCACGAUGACUCCGGAAGCCACAGACAGCAGCCCUCCGGUCCCCUGGUGGGAGAGGAGCGCCUUUCUGAAGGUGGAAUGGCCUGUCUUUCAUGUUGACCUGAACAGGACAUCCAAGGCAGCUGAAGGCACCUUCCAGGUGGGCCUUUUUACCAGUCAGCCGCUGUGCCUGUUCCCCAUGGACAAGCCCGGCAUCUUGGUGGAUGUCACCUUCACCAACAGCCUUCCGGAGGCAAGGAUGAGUCAGGGCCAGCCGCUGGAGAUAAGGGCUAGCAAGAGGGCAGAACUCGCUCAAGGCCAGUGGGUUGAGUUUGGCUGUGCACCUGUGGGGCCGGAAGCCUAUGUCACCGUGGUGCUGAAGCUGCUCGGCGGGGACUCGGUCAUUACGUCCACAGGCCCCAUUGACCUGGCCCAGAAGUUUGGAUAUGCACUGGUGAUGGCGCCAGAGCUCACCUGUGAGUCCGGGGUGGAGGUGAGGGUGCUGCCCCCGCCAUGCAUCUUUGUCCAAGGGGUGAUCGCUGUCUUCAGGGAGGCCCCCAGACGCCCUGGGGAAAGGACCAUCCGGUUGGCUGAAAACAGUCUGACCUUGGGAGAAAGGAGAACAGUAUUCAACUGCACUUUGUUUGACGUGGGGAGGCAUAAAUACUGCUUUGACUUUGGCGUCUCAAGCAGAAGCCAGUUUUCUGCAAAGGAGAAGGAGUGCAUGCUAAUUCAGAGAAAUAUAGAAACUUGGGGACUGUGGCAGCCGUGGAGCCAGUGUAGUGCCACGUGUGGGGACGGUGUCAGAAAGCGUCGCCGCCUGUGCCUGCCCUCCUCCCCCUCCCGACCUGGCUGCCCUGGAAUGUCGUCGGAGAGCUCUCCAUGUUCCCUGGAGGACUGUACGGCUUUCCAGCCAUCCAGUCCGUCUCCUUUCCAGCCCCAGACUCCCGUGAAGUCCAACAACAUCGUGACGGUCACUGGGAUAUCCCUGUGCUUGUUCAUCAUUGUGGCCACUGUGCUCAUCACGCUGUGGCGGAAGCUGGGCCGCGCCCCCAAGUGCAGCACCCCAGUCCACCACAACUCCCUGCACGCGCCCGGCUGCCGGAAGAACUCAGACGAGGAGAACAUCUGCGAGCUGAGCGAGCCCCGUGGCAGCUUCUCAGAUGCUGGCGACGGGCCGGCGGGGAGCCCCGCGGGCCAGGGCAUCCCUCUGACCUACCGGCGGAGCGUGCCGGCGCCCCCCGAUGACGAGACCUCGGGCAGCGAGAGCUUCCAGUCCAACGCCCAGAAGAUCAUCCCACCCCUGUUCAGCUACCGCCUGGCCCAGCAGCAGUUGAAGGAGAUGAAGAAGAAAGGCCUGACGGAGACCACCAAGGUGUACCACGUGUCCCAGAGCCCCCUGACGGACACCGCCAUCGACGCCGCCGUCACCGCACGCCCGGGAGGCUCCGAGAGCCCCGAAGAAGCCGCGGCCGGCAAGUUCCGCCUCAAAUCCCCGUUCCUGGAGCAGCCGCCCGCGGUCGGCGCCGGGGACAGGCCCCCCUCCCGGCUGGACCACCCGCUCUCGCCGGCCAGCUGCGCCGUCAGCCCCAGCCAGAGCCUCCUCCGCAAGUCGCAGAUGAGGAGCCACCCCCGGGGGUCCCAUUUCCGGAGGACGGCAAGUUUCCACGAGGCCAGGCAGGCCCGACCGUUCCGGGAGCGGAGCCUGUCCACCCUGACCCCCCGGCAAGCCCCCGCCUACAGCUCCAGGAGCCGGACGUGGGACCAGGCGGGAGAGCGAGUCCGGCCCCCGAGUCGAGGCGCUGCCCUGUUUCCGGAGAAACGGGACCACUGUCCAGGGGCAGGUGGAAGCAGUGGCCCGUUAAGCCCUUUCCCUAAACCCCACACCCUGGGGCAGCCCACGAGGAAACCAGACCUGGGGGAUCGCCAGGCAGCGUUCGUGGCGGGAGGUGAGAGAACGGAGCCUCACCGGGCUCGGAGGGGACCGUCCCCCAGUCACAGGAAUGUCUCAAGGAAGCGGCCUUCCUCCCCGGCCCCCAGAGAUAGCUACCAGAGGGUCAGUCCUCUGAGCCCUUCUCAGUGUCGGAAAGACAAAUGUCAGAGCUUCCCCGCCCACCCGGAGUUCGCCUACUACGACAACACAUCCUUCGGCCUCACUGAGGCGGAGCAGGGGAUGCUGGACCUCCCGGGAUAUUUUGGGUCAAACGAAGAGGAUGAAACCACGAGUACGCUGAGUGUGGAGAAGCUGGUCAUCUAGACCGAGAUCAGCCUGAGACUUCACACAACAGGGGUCCUUUGCCCACCUCAGGGUAUCAGCUGCUCGCAUUGUUUUGUGGACUGUUUUGUGUAACUAUUUGUACAGCAGGACAGGAUGUGGGGAGGUGGUAACUGACACCAGUGUCCGCAUGUGUUUUAAUUCAUAAGGAAGAAGUUAUUUAUCCGGAGCUUUUCCCUUCGUUAUCCUGUUUCUAUUGGCUUAUUACUGCUAACUCUGAUAAUAAAAAUUUAAACGAGUGCAAUAGGGCUUGGUCUCUCAUGUGAAUAUGAAAAAUGACAAGAUGCAACUUGCCAGGUUCCAACUUGAAACAAACCUGAGAGUUUCAACAGGAAGAAGGGCUGGAACAAAGUAAGCUCGCCAAUACAACCCCGAACUGUAAUUUAUUAAGUUUUAAAUCCUUCAGAAUUUGACUCCUGCGCGGGCAGUAUUGAACAGGUUUUAUAUUUGACUGAUUAAGUCAAUUAUGGCUAUUCCUAGGUUACCUAGAAUUGGUGAUACCACAAGAUAUUCCAGAAGAACUUUCAGGCCAGAGUUGGGGGAUAUCUUACUGUUUUUUACGCAAGAAAGAGUGCUGGGGACUCGACACAAACUUUAUGUGAGUUAGUUCUGCUUUGGAGAAAGAAUAUAAGAAGCUGAUCUUUCAGGUAGUGAGUCCAAUGAAGACCUGUCCAUCAUUGUUCUGAGCAAAAAGUAAACAUUUUGGAAAGGAAGGUGUUGUCUCCCAGGAGAGCAUCAACUGGAACCCGGGCAGUGAUGCUGCCUGGCAUCAGGAUGCUGACUAUGUGCUCCUGGACCAAGCUGCAGCCAGGACCCCAGGAGUGUCAUUCUGAAACUGGUGUGUGUAUUUUUUUUUUUUAAUAGAGGACGUUUACUAUUUCGUUGCUGGUCAGACAGAACACAGAUGGGGAGUACACAGGGGAGGGGUGCCUUGUAAAGGGAUGUAUGUGGCGGUUUCUUGGGAAAUAGUCCAAGGAGUCUUCUCAGCAAAGGGACUUGGGCUGGUGUGUCAUAAGCAUCCAACACACCCAGUCCUUGGCCUUAAGUUGGGUUCCCCCCCAUAGGUGGUCUGUGGAGAGUCUCACUUUUUUCCCAGCUCCUUUGCUGGAAUCCACACUCCCAGUGUGAUGGGGGGGCUUGGUCCUAGAGAGGGGUCUGGAGAGCCCCCAGGAAACAGCCCAGGGUUGGUAAGAGGGCUCCUGUGCCCACUGCCCAAGGGGACGAGAACCCUGCGGGGUGCUAAAGGCUGCCCACCUCUCCUCUGCCCUCUUUCCUUCCCCCAGGCUGGGCAAGAGAAGAGGAGGGAUGAGUAGGGUCCCCAGCCUCUACUGAGUCCCAGGGGCCUCAGGGUGGGGUGGAGGAGGGGUGGAGAGUGAGGAUCUUGGCCAUCAACAGACACUGUAAACUUUGGUUUAAAACAAUACCUUAAGUGGAGGCAGGGCUUCCAGCCUGGGGCCGGAAGUAUCAUAAUACCAUGUUAUUUAGAAAGUAUGUGAAUUAAUCUCAAGUACAUGGAAAACAGGUGGGCUGGAUUAUGAUUUUACAGCUUAAGCUUUUAUAAUUGGAAGAAAGAGGGAGGUAGAGAAAAGAAGUCUUUUUAAAGUAUUUAUUUAUUGGCUGCGCCUGGUCUUCGUUGCCACGUGCAGGAACUUUAGUUGUGGCAUGCGAACUCUUAGUUGUGGCAUGUGGGAUCUAGUUCCCUGACCAGGGAUCGAACCUGGGCCCCCUGCACUGGGAGGGUGGAGUCUUAGCCACUGGACCACCAGGGAAGUCCUGAGAAAAGAAAUCUUAAUGUUUUCUGAUUCAAUCUGCCUACCACAUUUUACAGAUAAAGAAUUCGAGGCUUGGGAAGGAAACUAACUCCUGCCGGCUUGGACGGACAUGGACUCAUAUUUUAAUUCUAACUGCCAUACUGUUUGCAUUCUGCCCUCACAGCCUUUUUGAGUCUUCUCCCAACAGCAGAAACUUCCUGAGAAAUCUGGCCCUUUUUGCAGUGAGAGGGCAUAGAGAGAUGCCUUUACUAGCUUUUCCCAAAGGAAGGAAGCUUUCUGCCGCCUGAUGUGAGAACUGGUCUUGCAGCUUGCUUUAUUUGGAAGUGAGGGCUACACAAAAGAACCUAGAGGUCAGGUUCCGUCAUUGGAAGUCUGUCAUCAGGUAUCAUGUGGGCACUCUGCAAUCUGGUAUACUUCCUUUCAGACCUUGAACUUGACACCUUAUCUGCAUACACUUGAGUAGCUACGCUUUCUUUUUGUUCACCAUGACCUCUCUUAGCUGCCACACCUACCCUGCCUUUUAGGCAGUGUUUUCUUUCUUCCUUCUAGAAUUUAUCAGGAUGUCAGCCUGCUGGCGAGGUUUCAGGGACCAUUGGAGAGAGUGGAAUUAGAUGGGGAAAAAAAUCACAAAUAAAAUAAUGCAGAUACUGUACUUUAAAAAUUUUCUUUUAUAUUUGUUGCAUUACCACUUCAUUUGUUCCAUUAUUAUUGAAAACUAACAUGUAUUUCCUUUUGGAAAUGCUUUAAUAAUAGCUAUCCACCUUUCAGGAACUGGAGGAAUUGAUUAUUCAAAGGUUUCUGACAACUGAUGGAAAGAAGAGGAAAUCAGAUGUUUUAAUCUCCCUUUUCUUUAUUUGUCCUACUAGAAAGCUGUGUUCUCGUUCCAAGUUCACAGGCUUGUGUGCCAACCUUUGACAGAAGGUAUGCGUGCUUGGUCCAGACCUCACAAUGAAUUUCCAAAAAAUUGUUUUUAUCAGACUGAGACAAAAACAGCUAUGGGGAAGGUGAAAAUUAGAGAAAAACAGUAUGAACAGAAAGAUCUUCUGUUCAAUUAUGUUCUUCCCCUGUAUAUCAUGCAUUUAACUUAAUAUCAGCAUAUAAUAUAUGCUGAUAUUAUAUAUAUCAGCAUAUAAUAUAAUAUAUCAGCAUAUAAUAAUGAAUUAAUACCAGCAUAUAAUAUGUUCACCAUCUGCCUAGCCCGGUUUUCUGUGGGUCAAUUUCUGCAUUUCAAAGUUAAGCGAAUUUGACCUCUGUCUCUGAGAAAAAGGAAAGUGGGUGCUUCGGCAUUGUCUUUGGUGGUUAAGCGGUUAACUUCCUUAGAAAUAAUCUCCUGUUCCUCACGAGCAUGUCCCUAGGUCCUAGCCCCAGUGGCUGCCAUUACGUAGGCGCUCGAUAAAGAUUUGUUGACUAAAUGACCGGCUAUUCAAAAGCCCUCAAACUAUAUUUGUGGUUGAACCAGAACAAUUCUGUGUAACACUUUAAAUCUUAAACCAUUAAGAAUGAGAUGUGUUCCUGCGAGAUACUGUGGGGUUUUUAAUUUCUAGAAGUAUCCAAAAAUGAAGAAAUCCUUAUCUUUUGGGGAUAAUACCCUCCCUGGCUGAAGAUGAAGGUAUCUCUAGAGCCUUUCGCAGUGUCUGUACACAGUAGUUAACAAAUACUGCAUGUAUAUGAGAGAGAGGCUUCCAUGUGGGUUGGGUACCCCGUCUUCCUAGCAAGUCUUCUAUUCACCCCCCUGCCCGGAGUCUGCCCCACCUCGUUGGGUCAGUUGCUCUCCAGAUGUGACUUCUAAAGCGGAUUUAUUUCAUAGAGCCGAGAGCCAUCGGUGUGCCACGCCCUUGCCACAAUUGCACAAAUGAUGACUAGCCCUUCCUACCAGUGUUCUCUCCUCAAGCUCUGUUCCACUCCAACCUGACCCACAAAAUAUAAAACUGCUGUUUUACAACUUUGAUGAGUUCUCACUUGAUUCUAGAUAUGUAACUUGUAAAAUGGUAUUGCACAGUUUAUUCUGGGCAGUUUCUGAGUCAUUUUUAUACACAGAGGACAGCAUAUUGUAAGUGCGUCGUAUUAUGUAAGGGCUUGUUUCUCCAGGUCAUACAAGCUGAGUCAUGGUUUGGAAGAUAAGAAGUAUUUGGCAUAGUCAAAAGCAUAUAAGUUUAAUCCUGGCCCUUCCCGUUCUAGCUGUGUGAUCUUAGGCAAGUCACUUAAUCACAUGAGCCUCUGUUUUUUCAAGUGUAAAAUGGGCAUAAUCAUCCCUAUCCUUGCUACUGAAGGUUCAAGGUGGGGACUUGAGUAAGAGAGAACAAGAGACUAAGCAAUUUCAAUGGAUUUCUGGAAGACUAAGCACAUGGAAGAACACUGAGUGGGAGAAGCUAUAGCCCAGGUUGUGCUUGGAGGGUCUUGCAGAAGACAGGGGAGCCUCCCUCUGUGCUAGAACCUUGCUGAGGCUGGGGACUCGGAAAAGUUAUCGGAAUGACUAGAAGAUGGAAGAUAGUGAAGAUCUCUAUACAAGAUGGUCAUCCUCCGUCCCUGUUCCUCAACUCUGGUGCCAGGAACCCCCAGCAACUAGAUGUUCAAUCACAGAGAAAACCAAAACCAACCAACCGAUGACCAGAGGGGACUUUUAUAAAGAGAGUGAAGGAUCUUUCUGAGAAAACUUGGGCAGCUGCAGCUGUUGGUACCGCGGCACAAAGUCAUCUACAUUCCGGCAUUUGAGAGGCCUCAGCACAACAAUCAGAUCUCUGACUAUUCACCCUAAAUUGAAGCCUGCCAAUCAGCAAGUUCCACAUACGUGCUAAGAGUCCGAGUCAGCCUUUCUCCUAUCUCAUUCUUAAGAAGAGCCUGACAACUGGAGUCACCAAACAUUUGAGAAAAACCUACAGUAUGACAAAGAAAGGUAAACAGAAAAUAAGUGACCGCAGAAGAAACAUAAUUCAGGGAAUAUAAGAAGAGCCAAAUAAAAAUCCUACAAAAUGAGUUACUUAUCACUAGAGAGAUGGGAAAUGAUAUUACAUCUGUUAAACAAGAACAUGAUGCUACAAAAAGGAAGAGUCAGAAAAUGGGAAGGAACUCUUGGAAAUGAUAUAUUCAACAGAUAGAUCAAUAGAUGAGUGAAACAAGUUUGGCAAGUGUUAACAGUUGUUGAAGUCUGGUGGUGGAUAUGUAAGUGUUCCUGUACUAUUCUUCCAACUUUUCUGAAUACUGGAAAAUUUAAUUAAUAAAUUUUUGAAAAAACAAAAUAAGAAAGAUAACUGUUUGACAUAAAAAUUCACUGAAGAAGUGAAUCCUGCUUUUGACACUUAGUAGCUACAUGACAGCAGUGAUGCCAAGAGAUGGUUCUUGGGGAGGGAAUGGGCACUGGGGGAGACUUGAUUCUAUGCAGAUCCUCCACGGAGCUACCACCUGUGCCACCCAGAAGCAUAAGGGCAGCAUGCUUUAGCGCAAACCUCCUAAACACUACAUUUUGUCUCCGAAGUCCCACCCACCAAAAGCUAUGUGACCCGGGUGAAGUACUUAAUUUAUCCAUGGACCUAGUUUCGAGUAGAUCUGAAGGAUGAAGAGGAAAGAGGAGUUUAGGAUGACUUCCAGAAUUCUGGCUGGAGUGACACCUCAGGAAGAGGAGGCGUAGGCAUUCCUGGGGGGUUGAGAGGUACUUCAGGCCAAAGGACUCAAAGAAUGACCUUCUCUGUAGAAGCAGUGUGGAGGCUCAGAGUCAUCUAAUUUUAACAACGUGGGAUUUCUGCUUGUAUCCCAAGCUGAUGAAGAGGAACGAAGCAAUUAUGUCUGUUCUUUCAAAUGUUCUAUAAUGAGCAUAUAUUGCUCUAUUUGUAAAUAGAGAUUAUUGUUAAAGCCUUCCUAUGGUGUAAAGCUCAGAAACGGCAAAAACUGCUACAGGAGGUUGUAUAUUAUGAGCUAUAUUUUUAAUUGAGCAUUUAUAUGGUUGUGUGCUAAAAUUAAGCUUUUAAAUGCAUGCAUUUGAACCGAUAAACUCAGUUUAUGUCAGUUGAUGUUUAACAGCAAGAUGCAGCUUGAUGUGUUUUGCCAGCAGUUGAGGGAGAAACUGACAACAGCUAUUACCACAGGAUGGGACAUCCAACCCCGGCAGCGAAGGUGGCAUCCGGAGUAGAGUUCUCCCAAACACAGACAGCAUCUCUUGGCUUUCCAUUUUGUGAGAGGAGGGUAUUUGAGCUCCUACGUCUCCUGGACUCCCCACCUCUGCUUCCACCUCCAGACUUCUCAUCAGGAUGUACUCAGAUUUCCAUGGCUGAGAACAUUUACAUUCCAUUCUGUAACCACAGUUAAGUCUUCUACAGCUUGUCCCUAGGUGCACCCUAAAUCCAAUGAUGAAUGGCCUUAUAAGGAACAAAAAAAGGAGAAGAACAGAGAGAUACAGAAGAGAAGGCCAUGUGAAGAUGGAGGCAGAGACUGGAGUGAUGUGUCUACAAACCAAGAAACACUAAGAAUUGCCAGCAGCCACCAGCUAGGUGAGAUGCAGACUCUCCCCUAGAGACUCCGGAAGGAAUCCGCCAUCACCAGCAUCUUGAUUUUAGACUUCUGGCUUCCAGAACUGUGAGAGAAUAAAUUUCUGUUGUUUUAAGACACUCAGUUUGUGGGAACUUAUUACAGCAGCCCUAGAAAACUCACUCAAUGGGGUUAGCAGAUAGGUCUGGAACUUCAUUUGUAGAGCACGCAUCUUAUUCUUUAGAUUGUAUAUUUUGGGGGAAUUUGAUGGGGUCAGUGUAGGAGAUUAUGGGGGUGACUAAAGCCUCCUUAUACUAUCCUUUGGCACUGCCACUGGUAGAUCCUGGUUGGAUGAGUCAAUGAAAUAUAUGUGUUUUAUUAUUUUUUCCAGCUUUAUUGAAAUAUAAUUGACAUAUAACACUGUAUAAGUUUAAGAUGUACAAGUGUUGAUUUGAAAUGCUUAUUGCAAAAUGAUUACCACCAUGGAAUUAGCUAACACCUGCAUCACAUCACAUAAUGAUCAUUUCUUUUUUGUGGUGAGAACAUUUGCAAUCUACUUUAUUAGCAACUGUCAAGUAUAUAAUAGAGUAUUAUUAAGUAUAAUCACGAUGCUGUACCUUAGAUCCCCAGAACUUAUUCAACCUGUAACUGGUAUUUUGUACCCUUUGACCAACACCUCCUUUCCCCCCACCCCCCUUCAGCCCCUGGUCAUCACUAUUCUAGUCUGUUUCUAUGAGUUCAGGUUUUUAGAUUCCACAUAUAAGUGAUAUCAUAUACUAUCUGUCUUUCUCUGCCUGACCUAUUUCACUGUAAAAAAAAUUGUAUUUUAAAAUGAUUUCAGAUGCAUACGUUCGUGUUAUGAAAUGUAUUUUGGGGACAGCAGCAUUUCUAUACCACUAUGUGGUAAAGGGCUUGAAUGUUUCCCUAUUUCAUCAAAGAGGCAGAUGUGAAACCAAGAGAAGAAAUAGGUCUCCUCUGAGCCCAUCCUUUUAGAAAACUUAAUGAGACUUGGCUACAAUAAGGUAUCAUUCAUUGACAUUCCACUUCUCCGUUUUAGGACUGGCUUCCUAAUCCUUGAAAUUAAAUGAGUAAUCUCUUUUUCUGUCCUAUUCUUUGCUUUUUUAAUUUACCUUUUCUCCUUAGUCUCAUUUCUUUUAGCUGUCCUGGCCAUACCUUUAAUGACUCACAGAAAAUUAGCCCACACCAAAAAAAUGGUAAACUUAAGAUUUCAAAAAUAGUGCUUGGAAAUUUUCUUGAAAUUUUGCUCUAUUUUUUUUAACAUAGAAAUUCAUUUGAUAGAUGCUGUGAGCUCAAAUUCUGUUUCCAAAUCUCUCAAAUAAGCCCAUGUUUGUCCAUCUCUAGCCCAACUAAGGCCAUGCCCAUCUCUCCAAAACCUUGCUCAGGAGAUGUGUCUGCUUCUUCCUUUAUAUACUUCCAUCUCCUCCCCUGAAACAAUGGACAGUAUAAAUUGGCCUCCUAAAAUCAUUAGUUGGAUGCACUUAUCUUAAGAUAAAACCUACCUUUUUUUUUUUUUGUCUGAGCAGCUUAUGGGGUCUUAGUUCCCCGGACCCUCGACAGUGAAAGCACAGAGUCCUAACCGCUGGACCACCAGGGAAUUCCCAAAUCUAGCAUUCUUAAUGCAGCCUACUAAACCCUGCCUAAUCUGACCCCUGCCAUCUUCACAGCCUCGUCUUCUACUAUUGAGUUGGCCAAAAGGUUCGUUCGAUUUUUUCCCGUAAGAUGGCUCUAGUAGUGCUUAGUUGUCUUUAAAUUCAUUUGAAACAAUUUUGUUACAUUGUAUCGUGACAGCUGUCAUAUCAGCAACAUGCAUUAAAAAAAACAUCAAAAUUGGUGAAUCUUUGUGGAGCCAUUUUAAUGUUGAAGAUGGAAGGAAAACAACAUUUUUGGCAUAUUAUGCUUUCUUAUUCCAAGAAAGGUAAAAAUGCAACUGAAACGCAAAAAAAGUUUUGUGCCGUGUAUGGAGAAGGUGCUGUGACGGAGCGAACGGGUCAGAAGUGGUUUGCGAAGUUUCGUGCUGGAGAUUUCUCGCUGGACGAUGCUCCACGGUCAGGUAGACCAGUUGAAGUUGACGGCGAUCAAAUCGAGACAUUAAUGGAGAGCAGUCAAUGUUAUACCACGAGGGAGAUAGCCGACAUGCUCAAAAUACCCAAAUCAAGCGCUGAAAAUCAUUUGCAUCAGCUUGGUUAUGUUCAUCGCUUUGAUGUUUGGGCUCCCCAUUAGUUAACCAAAAAAACCUUUAUGACCGUGUUUCCGCAUGCGAUUCUCUACUUAAACAUAAUGAAAACAUUCCGUUUUUAAAACAAAGUGUGGGGCUUCCCUGGUGGCGCAGUGGUUGAGAAUCUGCCUGCUAAUGCAGGGGACACGGGUUCAAGCCCUGGUCUGGGAGGAUCCCAUAUGCUGCGGAGCAACUGGGCCCGUGAGCCACAACUACUGAGCCGGCGCGUCUGGAGCCUGUGCCCCGCAGCAAGAGAGGCCGCGAUAGUGAGAGGCCUGCGCACCGCGAUGAAGGGUGGCCCCCGCUUGCCACAACUAGAGAAAGCCCUAGCACAGAAACGAAGACCCAACAGAGCAAAAAUAAAUUAAUUAAUUAAAAAACUCCUACCCCCAACAUCCAAAAAAAACCCAAAAAACAAAUUGUGACGGGCGAUGGAAAGUGGAUACUGUACAAUAAUGUGGAACGGAGGAGAUCGUGGGGCAAGUGAAAUGAACCACCACGAACCACACCAAAGGCCGGUCUUCAUCCAAAGAAGGUGAUGCUGUGUAUAUGGUGGGAUUGGAAGGGAGUCCUCUAUUACGAGCUCCUUCCGGAAAACCAAACGAUUAAUUCCAAAAAGUACUGCUCCCGAUUAGACCACCUGGAAGCCGCACUCAACGAAAAGCGCCUGGAAUUAGUCAACAGAAAACACAUAAUCUUCCAUCAGGAUAACGCAAGACCGCAUGUUUCUUUGAUGACCAGGCAGAAACCGUUACCGCUUGGCUGGGAAGUUCUGAUUCAUCUGCCGUAUUCACCAGACAUGGCGCCUUCGGAUUUCCAUUUAUUUCAGUCUUCACAAAAUUCUCUUAAUGGAGAAAAUUUCAAUUCCCAGAAGACUGUAAAAGGCACCUGGAACAGUUCUUUGGUCAAGAAGAUAAAAAGUUUUGGGAAGAUGGAAUUAUGAAGUUGCCCGAAAAAUGGCAGAAGGUAGUGGAAUAAAACAGUGAAUACGUUGUGCAUUUAAGUUCUUGGUAAAAAUGAAAAACGUAUCUUUUAUUUUUACUUAAAAACCAAAGGAACUUUUUGGUCCACCCAAUACUAUUCCCUUCAAACAUUAUGCUCCAGCCACAUGGCUUUCACUUCGCUCCCUAAUACAUCAACUAUUUUCCUCCUAAGGCCUUUGCAUGUGCUGUUCCUUUUACUUAGUAUGCUCUUUUCUCCAAUCUUUUCUUUCUUCUGUAACUAUAGCUACAUUUCACUUGCUUUGUUUAUAGAUUAACUCUAGAAAUUAAAAACCAAUCAAUAACAUUUAAGAAAUGAUUAUGUAUAUGUAAGUCAUUAUAAAAACAAGUAGUAAGACUGGGCCUAUUAAAAAAAAAUUCCACUCAGGUAUUUACCCAAGAGAAAUAAAAACAUAUGUCCACAAAUGACUUAUACUUAAAUACUUUUAGGGCUCUAUUUAUAAUAGCACCAAGCUGGAAACAAACCAAAUUCUGUCAACAGAAGAAUGGACAAACAGAUGGAGUUAUAUUUGUGUAAUAGACUACUACUCAACAAUGAAAAAGAAUAAGCCACUAGUGCAUGCAACAACUUGAGCCUCCAAAACACUUUAUUAAACAAAAGAAGCCAGACAUAGAAGAGGAUAUAUUGUAUGAUUCCAUUUAUGAAAAGUUCAAGGGCAGGUAAAUAAAUACUGUAGCAACAGAAAUGAGAACAACCACUGUCUUUGGGGGGGUGUGGUGGGGCAGGGCGAGGCACUGGCUUGAAAGAGAGCAAAGGAACUUCUGGGGUGGUGGGACUGCUCUGUACCUUGCUUUGAGUAAUGGGGUUACACAGGUAUACACAUUUGUCAAGACACACUAUACACUAAAGCUAUGUGCAUUUUAUUGUGUAUGAAAUACACUGUCAUUAAAGAACAAUGCAAUCUUAUAUUUUUGUAAUCUAGCUGCUCAAAGAGACUUUUCAAUAAUCAAGUCCAAUGCUUCAUUUUAUUUUCUUUCUAGCUUCUUUCACCUCUUCUGAAUCACACUCAAAUGUUAUGUAUGUUAAUAACGUGAGAGGUUAUCAGGCGUCCCUCCAGAUCCAUAGACUUAUUUUACCCGUGGCAUUAUGAUUCCAGACAUCUCAUCCCCACACCUGCAUCAGAUCAGAAGUAGCUGAAAAGGACACUGGAAGGCACACUGGUAAUAGUGACACCCUGACAAUGAAGGAGAAAAAGAAAAACUAGAAGUAUGACCUAAGAUGGGACUUCCCUUAUAGUUCA